GCCUGGGUGGCUCAGCCGGGUAAGCGUCUGACUUUGGCUAGGGUCAUGAUCUCACGUUUCGUGGGUUCGAGCCCCGCCUCGGGCG
rnacentral:tRNA from 1 species